CAGUACUGUUUGUAGUAAGUCGAAAACUAAAUUUGUGUGAAAAUGACAACUCCUGUUGACUGUCGGUAACCUAGGCCCAAAAGGCGUGAGUCGGGAUACAAUAAGCGAUGCCAUGACAGUGCUACAAAAAGACACACAUUAAUUCUCACGUUUUUCGAUAGUCAACGGCCAAUUAAUGUUUCCGCAGCGUAGAAAAAUCGGGAUUUAUCCGCCAUAUUUUUGCGUGAUCUCAAAAGACACACGAAAGUUGUACUGACUUAUUGCAAAGUCAGUACAACUUUCGUGUGUCAAUUUUAACCGUUUUAACGAAAAGUUUUUUUGUGAUGUUUUAGUUUUAAAUAUAUGUAAUUAGCUUUUUUUAAACGUUCUCGUUUAUAAUUAUGUAAACUACAGUUCAUAUUUUCAGAUGUGAAAGCUGACACUUAUGAACAUAAUUAGAAGUUAUAAAUAUAUUAGAAGCUGAUAUACAUUUGAUUUAAAUUUAUCAAAUCAAGUGGAUUUAUGCAUCAUGAACUUAGGAAAUAUAAAAUCUAGUGAACAAUACUAAGUAAUAAAAAAGAGAAGAUAACAACUACAAGUAUUAACAGAAACCACUAAUGGAGAAGUCGUAUUAAAGUCUAACCUUUUAAUAAAUUUAAGUGUUAUAUUUUGUACCUACCUGAAUAAUUUAUUGGUUGGUUAAGUAACAUUACCUAAAGAACAGAAAACAGUAACUCAAACUAGGUUCUUCCACAUUUAAUCUUAAUAAGUUCGGCAGUUCGAAUGUCAAUGAGAUAUUUAUUAUAAACAAACUUUAUUAUGAGAAGAUAAGAUGUAGAUUUUGAGAAGAAUUAUAUCUUUACAAUAACUAUUAUCAUUUCCAAUGUUUGCGUUAAGAAAACAAUCCAUGCUGUUUAAUGGCCCAGGAUGUAUCUUUUUAUAGUAACUGGAGGGCUUUUUCUGUUAUGUAUCAAAUGCAUGCAGGUAUAUAUACCGUACUUUGUAAGGUAACAAUUACGACAACUACAACUACAAUUUAAUGAGAUCAUCACAACAUCUAACAUUAGGUUUUAUGAAUUAAAUUUGUCUUGUAUGUAGAAUACUUUUCGGUAUCCAAAUGGCUAGACCCCUAGGUAACUUAAACUGAAAUUAAAUUUAUGGGUAAACAUAAACAGAGACUUUUUGUCCAUUUUUCAGCUUAUUAUUUUAAAUUUUAAAUAAAAAAAUUUUAUUAGGUUUAUAAAUGUAACAUUAGUGAAUAAAUUUAAUCAUGGAACAAUAUGACGGAUUAGAGUGCUACGAACAGCCCGGUACUGUAGUGUAGUAACAUGUCUCUUGGAUGCGAACGAAACGUUUUCGACAAUACUUACAUAAAAGCUGUAGUGUGUAUAGAAUACAUUUCGGUAGUAAUAUGGCUAGACCCCAAGAGAAAAUACAUUUUUUUGUUUUAAAUGUGUAGCUCUAUCAUAGAUGAAUAUCCGUCAGACAUCUUGUGUCUAUUACUCUUAGGUAUAGACUAAAGAAUUGUUUGAGUGUUUUACAUCAAACCAAGCUGUUUAUUUUUUACACUCCCAGCUCCCGCUUAAACUUCAAUUGUAAGCGAGAAAGAAAUGUCCGAGGUUAUCAUUUUCCCCGCUUCAGAUAGCGGGGAAAAUACAUACAAAAAUUAGAUUAAUAUCAGGUUUUAAAUCUAAAUUGUUACUUUAUUAUGUGAUGUGAAAUUUUGAAUAUUUUAUUUAUUUAUACAUAAAUAUGGAUCGAAUCCUUCCUUUAAAAUGUGUAAGAGGCAAUUAAUAGUUUCUAAUAUUUCAUGCUAUUUAUUUUAGUCAUUAAGCUCUUAGUUACAUUUUAUUUUUCAGAAUUAUGGAUCUUUAUCCAUAUAACUUUCUAUAUAUUUAAAAUCUACCAGUUUUUUUUAAACCAACACAACACACCACAGUAACGCUAGGAGCGUAAAUUUUAAUUUUAGUUAUUGUGUUUCUCUCGUUAUCUUUCAAGUUAUCUAGCUUAAGUUGCU